rfam:Homo sapiens chromosome 3, GRCh38 reference primary assembly.
GCCGGGCAUGGUGGCGCGCACCUGUAAUCCCAGCUACUCAGGAGGCUGAGGCAGAAGAAUUGCUUGAACCCAGGAGGUGGAGGUUGCAGUGAGCCGAGAUCACACCACUGCACUCCAGCCUGGGUGACAGAGCGAGACUCUGUCUCAG